rfam:TPA: Bos taurus chromosome 25, whole genome shotgun sequence.
UUUUUUUCCUUGACAGUGUUCAAGAAAAUAA